ensembl:lncRNA
CCUGACCAACGCUAUGAUUGAAUGGAGAUCUGUUAAACUGUAUCUGUCCCUUUAAGAGGUCAGUCAGUGCUCAGCAGCAGCGAAACCUCCGGCAUAACAAACACAACCAUCAGCAGCGCAACACUUUCUCAAGCGCAUCUCACAUUACUGGAGUUUACAACGCCCCGCAUAAUACGGCAAUGUGUAACGCGAAUCAAUUACGAUGAAGGACUGGUGUCGUCUUCUGCUCUUGGCUGGAAUUGCUGCUGUUUUGCAUCCAGACGAAUGAGCACCCAUGCACACCAUGGCAACAGCAAUCGGUCCAUGCUCUGAUGCAGAGGACCUGUUGGCUUCCAUCCACCUCGAGAGGUAUCUGGACCACUUCCGUCAGGCAGGCUUUCUCCUCGCCCGAGACUUCUGUCAUGUGGACAGUGUGGCUCUGAACAGGGUGGGAGUCACUGCCACCGGCCACAGGAAGCGUAUCCUCAAACUAGUCGAGCACAUUCAGCUGAUCUGUCAACAGCCCUCGCUAGAUCGCUGCAAUUCAGACUCUGCUAUUCAUGAGGUGACCCCUGUCAAAGCGCAGCCUCAUUCUCCUUCAAGACAUUCUGGCAUCUCCUUAGAAGCCUUACGUAACAGGUCAGCCCCGAAUCUUUGUGCACAAGUGAAGCGCUCGUUCUCAGACCGUAGCACCAGUGUUGUAAAGCCGGUACCAAAACCAAGAACUGUCUUUCACAGACUGAGAGCAGAGAAAAUUUCUUUACCAACGCAACAUGAAGCGCAACCUCGCCAAAAGUCAUCUCAGGACUCACUUUUAAAAGUUGCACAAGGUUCAUCCUCCAGUACAGACACUGUCGAAUCAUCUACUGAAUCAAAAAAGGGCCAUUGUGAACCAGGUUUGAGUAAAAGUGAUCCGUUACCCCCAGUGCCCCCUAGGUUAAAUCGAGGAACUCCCCCAUCCACAUUCAGGAGAAUGUCGGAGCAGGAGCGUCUGAGCACCCCACCCCUCUGCACCCCUCCUGACUCCCCCUCCAGUUAUCAGUGCUCUCCCUUCACUAACACACCCGGUUCACCUCCAAGUCCACCCUGCUCAGGGCUAGAGAUGGUCUCUAAUGAAAUCUACUGUGGCACUUUACCAGGCACUCCAUUUUGGAGUCGCUCUGUACCCGUUCCCCCUCCACGCCAGGAGGGCAGCCCAUCCACUGAAAAUCAUAGCACUUUAGAAAAGUCCAACUCAACUGAAACACCUAAAAGAAAGUCUGUACCUGCUGAGGAAGAAGAUGAAACGAUCAACCCGUACUGUGAAACUGUUUUCCACAGCAGGCGACAAUAUCAACAUUCAGAGGUUGAGAGGACCAAAUGUGAGGAAAAGACUACAAAUAAUGAAGAUAAACAAAGAGAACAUGGGCAGCACAAUCACUCUUCGCUCAAGCGUCUUGAUUCUCCAGGUUACUGCACUGUGGGUGAACCGUCCCCGGCCCGUCACUCAUUCUCCCUCCCUCACAACUUUGUCUCCAAUGAAACGGAUGAGGACAUCAUCUCUCCCUACGCCAGCUUCACCUCGCUGUCCGAGCGGGUGGCACCCAUCCUCAGCGGCUGGCUGGACAAGCUCUCUCCUCAAGGAAACUAUGUGUUCCAGAAGCGAUAUGUGAAGUUUGAUGGGAAGAACUUGAUGUACUAUGGUAGUGAAAAGGAUGCUUAUCCCAAAGGUGUGAUUCCCUUAGCUGCCAUACAAAUGGCCCGCGUAGCCAAAGACAAUAAAUUUGAGGUUGUCACAAGUCACAGGACAUUUGUCUUCAGAGCUGAUAAUGAUGUUCAGAGGAGCACAUGGUGCGGCACGUUGCAGGAGCGGGUCAAAGAACAGCUGGUUUUCGGCCGCUUACGUUUUGGCCCUGGCAGUCACUGCCAAAAGAACGGCUUCCUGGAGCUCAAAGGAACCAAGUCAAAGAUCUACACAGCCAUUAUAAUGGAGCAGAUCUGGUUGUACAAGAAUGAGCAGUGCUUUAAAAAUGGAAUUGGAAUUACUGUAAUUGAGGCCAGAGGAGCUACAAUUCGUGAUGGGAAGGGCAAGAGCUUUGAUCUCAUUACACCUUAUAAAACCUUCAGCUUUACGGCAGAGUCGGAGCGAGAGAAGAGGGACUGGAUAGAGGCCCUGCAGGAGUCUAUAGCGGAAACACUGUCUGAUUAUGAGGUGGCAGAGAAGAUCUGGUCCAACAGGUCCAACAAGAUCUGCGCAGACUGCAAAGCCAUCAAUCCAGACUGGGCAUCCAUCAAUCUCUGUGUGGUCAUCUGCAAGAACUGUGCAGGCCAGCAUCGAGGUCUCGGCACAAUGGUGUCGAAAGUGCAGAGUCUGAAACUAGACACCAGCGUGUGGAGCAAUGAGAUCGUCCAGCUCUUCAUAAUGCUUGGCAAUGAUAGAGCCAAUGAAUUUUGGGCGGCCAGACUUCCUGUGACUGAGGAGCUGGACUGUGACGCCUCCCCAGAGCAGCGGAAAGAGUUUAUCACCCACAAAUACAGAGAAGGCAGAUAUCGGCACCCUCAACCCAGUUUUAGCACUCAAGAGGACCUUCUUAAGGCGCUGUGCACCGCUGUGACUGAGCAGAACCUGCUAAAAACGGUCACUCAGAUUUUUGCGGAGGCCGAGGCCGUGCGACUAGCUGACGCUGAUGGAAGCGAUAAGCGCGUGUCCCCGCAUUACUCAUACACACAGUCAGCAGAUUCCUGUGUCUAUGAUGAGAUCAUGCAGUCCAUCCUGUACUCCGGCUACAUCUACAAGUCAAGCUCCUUGAACAAAGGGACAUUAUCUCGCAGAACCAGAGACGCAGAUUUCCAAAAGUACUGGUGUUCGGUGGAGAAGUCUAUUCUCUUCUAUGAGUCUGACAGAUGUCAUGAGCCCAGUAUGAAGAUCGAUGUGAAAGACAUCAUCUGUUUAGGGGUUAGCCGGCCAGACUCCAGCAACAGCAGCGGCUUUAUUGACAAAUUUCGAUACACAUUUGAACUUUACCUAACAUCUGAUAAACUGAUCCAGUUUGGCUUUGAGACUCCAGAUGCGUUACACAGUUGGGCGAGAGCGAUAGGGAAGGCCACCACACCUCUCAGCUGUCACUGCCUGCUGGCGCGAGAGUUCGAGCGAGUGGGCGUCCUGCGCUACAAGGCCAUGCUAGACCCACAGCAGUGGAAAGAAGGCUUCUUUGUUCUGCAGAAGUCCAACCUGUUCAUAUGCCCUGGAAAUGAUGGAGCCGCAGAGGAUAUUAUAAACCUGAAACGCCUACAGGAGCUCAGCAUUGCAUCGGAAACAGAGAACCAUGAGAAGAAGGACAUCCUGGUUCUUGUUGAGAAAGGAAGGACUCUGCAUCUGCAGGGCACGGGCAGGACUGACUUCUCCCUGUGGUACGCAGACAUUCAGAAGGCAGCAGGAGGGAAAGGGAACACCCUGAAAGACCAGCAGCUCAGCAGAAAUGACAUCCCCAUCAUCGUUGACAGCUGCAUUGCCUUUAUAACUCAGUAUGGUCUAGGCCAUGAGGGGAUAUACAGGAAAAAUGGUGCGAAGUCCAGAAUCAAGCUUUUGAUGGAGGAGUUUCGUAAGGACGCCCGCAAUGUGAAACUCCGCAUUGGAGAUAACUUCAUAGAGGACGUGACGGAUGUACUGAAAAGGUUCUUUCGGGAGAUUGAUGAUCCUAUAUUCAUGGCUGAUCUCCACCCCUUCUGGAGGGAAGCUGCCAAGAUACCUCAAAAGCCACAGCGUUUGGACCGAUACAAAGAGCUGAUUCGAGGGUUACCUCGGGUCAACAGAACGACUUUAGCAGCUCUCAUCAGUCAUCUCUACAGGGUGCAGAAGUGUGCUGAUCUCAAUCAGAUGUGCACUAAGAACCUGUCCCUGCUGUUCGCUCCCAGCCUGUUUCAGACUGAUGGGAAAGGGGAACAUGAGGUCAAAAUCAUAGAAGACCUCAUCGAUAACUACCUGUACAUAUUUGAUGUAAGUGAAUAA